UCAUGCUUUUUUAGUUUUUUUUAUGCUAGCCCGUGCAGUUGCACGGGUUCACGACGAGUUAUUUUAUUAAUUGUUCACCAAGACCAUACAAAGCAAUGCAUCAACAAGUCUGAAGUCAACCAGUGCUAUCUCUCUUUUUUUUUGAAAAGGAGGAUGACCUCCGGCUGCAUCAGGACAAUGCAUGCAAUCUAUCUAUCUAUCUAUCUAUACCUCUAUACCUAUAUAUACCUAUACCAAAAAAUUACCACGUUAAUUAGAAAAUAGGAGCCGUUAAUCUGAUGGGACCGAGUUAUAACGGCCAGAUUUCAUUAGACAAUAGGAACCGUUAAUCUGAUGGAACCGAGUUAUAACGGCCAGAUUUAAGUAGACAAUAUGAGCGGUUAAUGGGGACAGAAAAAUUAUCUGGAUGCAAAAGAAAAGGCAGUCACGUUAAAAAGGAUUUCUGACAAUUCUUCUCCUGUUUCUUUUGUGAUUACACGUACACAUAAUUAUAUUGAGUCCUACUUCUAUACGUAUGGCUGGAAUCACAAGAUAAAGGUGAUGCCUUACGAUGGCCUUUUGCGAGGGUAUCUGAUGGUUGUCUUUUUUGAAAUGGUGUGGAUGGUAGCCCGUAAAGGUGAUGCCUUACGAUGGAGCAAUUGCAACCAGUUAAAAAAUUAUAUUACGAUCUAUGCCUAUAAGUUGGAGAUUCACUCCAAGGCAACAUACGAAUGAUAUAUAUGGUUUAUAUACAAUUCCCGUCAUUUAUUUUACAUUAAAUUAAAGAAUGUAAUUCUAUAACGAAAAGCGGAAGAGUAAAUAUAUUUUGCUAUUUUGUCUUAGAGGGCACAAGUUCAUGAAACUUAAUCUCUAAAAGUAUAAUUGAUUCCAAGGAAUUUUAAUAGAAAGAUUUUGUGGUGCAGAUGUUGAAAUUAAAGGAAAACUACGUAAUCGAUAUUUUUUGUCUUAUUAGUUGACACGCUAGAUAAAUUAUGCUUCUGUAGGUCUUAAUUGAGUCCGCUUCAGUAUGCAAGAAUUAAUUUUAUUCAAAAUUAUUAAUAGUCUAUUUGAGUUUCACUUUCUAUUGCCAAAAAAUAAACUACAUAAAUAAGUUUACAAAAAUAUAGGUUCAAAUCCAUUGUGCUCCAGAACUCGAGGAAAAAUAAUAAUGAAUGGAUCAAAAGGUUCUCGCAAAAAAAGAACUGGAGAAAUAUAUAAUUAAUAGAUCGAAAGGUUCUCGCACAAAAAAAUAAUGAAUGGAUCGAAAGGUUCUCGCACAAAAAUGUAGGUUCAAAUCCAUUGUGCUUCAGAACUGGAGAAAUUGUAUACGGGAUUCCUCUGAUAACACCUUUAAACACAUCGAGUAUCAUGAAAAUAUUUGGAUCUCAUCUAUAAUUUUAAACUGAUUUCUUAUGCUUAAAACUAACAAUCAAUCAUAGGAGUACUAUCAGGAUACCCAUUAUUUUUAGAGGAGACCUUCUUGGGCUGUGAGUUGUUACAAGAAACUAGGUUUGUUCAUGAAAAUAGAUGUUACUACUAUAUUUGGUUCGUUUCUAACUAUACCAUGCAAGACAAUAUCCCUAUAUGUAGCUGAUUUAUAUGUUAUUUGUCUUUUUUUUGUUGCUAAAGAUUGCACCUUUAUUAUAGUUAAUUAGUGAUUGAGGAAAUCCUGCAAUGACAUUAUUUGUUUCCCCCUACAUAUCACAAAGGACUACUUUCACAUGUUGUCAUACUCAUGCUUUUUUAGUUUUUUUUUUAUGCUAGCCCGUGCAGUUGCACGGGUUCACGACUAGUUAUUUUAUUAAUUGUUCAUCAAGACCAUACAAAGCAAUGCAUCAACAAGUCUGAAGUCACCAUCUCGGCAAAAUCCAUCGCUAUUCCUAUCAACUUGUAGAAGGGGGUGCAGAUUAUCUAAGCCGUAUACCCAUACCUCACACCAAAG
rnacentral:lncRNA from 1 species